rnacentral:lncRNA from 1 species
ACAGAUGCUUUUACAGCUCGCCUUGGCGGGAAGAUCUGGCACAAAUGAAGUAUCUAUAAGGAGCAGCAGAGUCAAGGAAGACACCAGACAAAUGAGUUACACUGUUUUGGACUCCCCAACACAACCCAGCCACCGGCUGAAUGCCACCAAAUUACCUUCUAGUUAAAGGUUUAUGGAGCAAACGAAUCACCUAUUCAAUAUCUGCUUGAAUUUCUGACUCAAAAUACAUCAGGUAUAAAAUGAUGGUUUUUUUAAGCCACUAAGUCUUGGGGGAGUUUAUUAUAAAGCAAUAGAUAAUUUUGAAAAUAAAUAGAACAAGCUGAAGUCCCAAUAAGAA